UCAGGACGAACGCUGGCGGCGUGCUUAACACAUGCAAGUCGGACGGUCCGCAUAUUGAAAGCUUGCUGGAUAUGUGCGGAUAGUGGCGGACGGGUGAGUAACGCGUGAAGGACCUGCCCUGGGGAGGGGGAUACCGUCUGGAAACGGACGUUAAUACCCCGUAAGCCGGGAGGUGAAAGGCUCAUAAAUGGGCUGCCCUGGGGGGGAUUCGCGUCCUAUCAGCUAGUUGGUGGGGUAACGGCUCACCAAGGCGAANACGGGUAGCCGGUCUGAGAGGAUGGACGGCCACACUGGAACUGAGACACGGUCCAGACUCCUACGGGAGGCAGCAGUGGGGAAUAUUGGGCAAUGGGCGAAAGCCUGACCCAGCGACGCCGCGUGAGGGAAGAAGGCCUUUGGGUUGUAAACCUCUGUUGUACGGGAAGAAGGAAGUGACGGUACCGUACGAGUAAGCCCCGGCAAACUACGUGCCAGCAGCCGCGGUAACACGUAGGGGGCGAGCGUUGUCCGGAAUUACUGGGCGUAAAGGGCACNCAGGCGGAUAUGUAUGUUUGUUGUGAAAUGUCAGGGCUCAACCCUGGAGUUGCGGCANAAACUGCAUAUCUGGAGUACU
rnacentral:rRNA from 1 species